GGCUCUGUGGCUUAACGGAUAAGGCGGCGGUCUCCUAAACCAAAGAUUCAAGGUUGGAGUCCUUGCUGGGUCG
rnacentral:tRNA from 1 species